rnacentral:rRNA from 1 species
CUUCAAGGUGCUGCAUGGUUGUCGUCAGCUCGUGCCGUGAGGUGUCGGGUUAAGUCCCAUAACGAGCGCACCCUUACCGUUAGUUACCAUCAGGUUAAGCUGGGGACUCUAGCGGGACUGCCACCGUAAGGUGAGAGGAAGGUGGGGAUGACGUCAAAUCAGCACGGCCCUUAUGUCCAGGGCUACACACGUGUUACAAUGGCCGGUACAAAGGGCAGCUACUUCGCGAGAAGAUGCUAAUCUCGAAAGCCGGUCUCAGUUCGGAUCGAAGUCUGCAACCCGACUUCGUGAAGUCGGAAUCGCUAGUAAUCGUGAAUCAGAAUGUCACGGUGAAUACGUUCCCGGGCCUU